rnacentral:rRNA from 1 species
ACGGAAGGCAGCAGUGGGGAAUAUUGCACAAUGGGGGAAACCCUGAUGCAGCGACGCCGCGUGAGUGAAGAAGUAUUUCGGUAUGUAAAGCUCUAUCAGCAGGGAAGAUAAUGACGGUACCUGACUAAGAAGCCCCGGCUAACUACGUGCCAGCAGCCGCGGUAAUACGUAGGGGGCAAGCGUUAUCCGGAUUUACUGGGUGUAAAGGGUGCGUAGGUGGUAUGGCAAGUCAGAAGUGAAAACGCGGGGCUUAACCUCGCGACUGCUUUUGAAACUGUCAAACUAGAGUGCAGGAGAGGCAAGCGGAAUUCCUAGUGUAGCGGUGAAAUGCGUAGAUAUUAGGAGGAACACCAGUGGCGAAGGCGGCUUGCUGGACUGUAACUGACACUGAGGCACGAAAGCGUGGGGAGCAAACAGGAUUAGAUACCCUGGUA